rnacentral:lncRNA from 1 species
GAAUAUGAUAACUUUAGUUCAUACAAUGAGUCUCCAACACAUAUGUUAUGGCUGAAUUAUGCAUACGUUACGGGUGAGUUAUGCAUACGUUACGGCUCAGUUAUGCAUACGUUACGGCUGAGUUUAUAGUUUUUUUAUAACUUUAUAGUUCUAUGGUCUAGGGUUUGAGGUUCAAAUUUACGAAAAGAUUAAAGUUUUAAUAUUGUGUUCAAAAGAUAAAUUUUAUAAUUUUAUAACUUUAUAGUUCUAUGGUUUAGGGUUCGAGGUUCAAAUUUAAGAAAAGAUUAAAGUUUUAAUAUCGCGUUCAGAGUUGAAGGAAUGAUUUUGUUCUCGCCCAAAACAUUUUCUUCCCCCCGAAACAUUUUGUUUCCGCCCAAAAUAUGAAACGUCGCGAAACAAAUUCACUCGAUGCCGGGGUUAUAGGAACAUUACGGCUGAUUUAGACUAUUCAGAUACGUUACGACUGAGUUAUGCAUACUUUACGGCUGAGUUAUGCAUAUGUUACGACUGAGUUAUAAUCAAAUUACAUCUGACUUAUGCAUAUGUUACGGCUGGGUUUAUACUUUUUAAAACCUUAUAGUUCUAUAGUUUAGGGAUUCAGGUUCAAAUUUAAGAAAAGAUUAAAGUUUUAGUAUUGUGUUCAGAGUUGAAGGAAUGCGUUUGUUCCCGCCCAAAAUAUUUUGUUCCCGAAACUAUACACAUUCAGUUGAUUUAUAUUCACAUGAUAUUGAUAAGAUGAUCUUCAAUAUAACUUUUUAAAGUACUUGAAUUCAGUUUUUCGAUUUUAGGGUAUGUUUGGGAUAUGACUGAGUUAUCUUAAUGACACAGCUGGGUUAUAUAAACGAUACGGCUGAGUUAUCUAAAUGACACGGCUGAGUUAUAUAAACGAUACGACGAUUUGGGAUAAGAUGCUUGCGGUGACGAUUUCAGAGUUGAAGGAAUGAUUUUGUUCCCGCCUAAAAUAUGAAACGUCGCGAAAAAAGUUACACUUGACGGCUGACUUAUAGUGCUGACUUAUAGUAACGUUACGGUUGACUUAUACCAUUCAGAUACAUUACUGUUGAAUUAUGCAUACCUUACAGAUGAGUAUGC